UAUAACACAAAACCUUGUCAUUCAGGGGGAGGAAAAUAGCUGGAUAAUAUUAAAAUUUUAUAUUCCAGAAAACUAUAUAUAAUCCUUUUAGCAUCCCUGACUCCACUCUUAUACAAUUUGCUCUAUGGGAACUAUGGAUUACAAGAAAGCAUUCUACUUUACAACACAAGACUUCCCAAGUUAAUACUCAAUUAGUUAUUAAUAAAGCAGCAGAAUUUUAUCAUCUUACACAA
rnacentral:lncRNA from 1 species